GAUGGUAAUGUGACAUAGUUACGUGAUUUUUUUUUAUCUAGGUGGCAUGCUUGAUGAAAUUUCGUUAAAGAGAUGGGUAUUUUUUAGCCAAAUAUUUAAUAAAGAGGUAUUUUUGAGCUAUUUCAGAUAGUUCAGGGGUAUUUUUGAUCUUUUUUCGAAUUCCGUUAGAGGGAGGAGUAUUUUUGAGUCAAAUAUUUAACGGAGGAGUAUUUUUUAGCCAGAAAUCUAGCGAGAGACAUUUUUGAGCUAUUUCAUAUAGUUCAGGAGUAUUUUUUAA
rnacentral:lncRNA from 1 species